AGUUACAUUCAAAUCUUGUUAGAUUUCUUCACAUCUCUUGUAUGCUUUAAUGGUGAGUUCUUUUCCGAACUCUCUCAGAUAGGAAGCGCGGCAUUUAAACAAACAGUCAUUAUUGUAAGUGUUGCCAUCGGAAGCGCAGACUGGAAAGUAAACUCGUGCGCAGGGGCAGUUUGAAGACCAUUUCUCAUAACCCUGUUCGAAUUUAUCACGGGCCUGCCCACAGAGAACUGACGCCACAGACAGGGCCAGAAGACAUACUGCGAAGAAGAAAAUAUUGUAUGAUUGUAGUACUCACGGUGGCCGUGCUGACAGUACCAGGGUCGUCUUUCCCCAGGAAAAGCUCUUCUGGUCGUUUGCUACUGGUAAAAUUGCGAGGAAAAGUUUAUCCAAAAAGGAUUAAACAUGAAUGUAGAUGCAUUCGCAUAUUGGAUCCAGUUUGUGGUAGUGAUAAUGAGACAUAUCCAAACGAAGGUUGCCUGAAUUGUUUCUAUAACGUAAAGGUUAAAAGGCGAGGUCGCUGCCAAUCUUAUGACUCGAAUUUAUUUAGAGUUGUUCCAUUUGACAUGAUGUUUGACUCCGAAGAGAGCAUAGAGACCACAACUUAUUAUGAUGGACCAAUGAUAUAAUCAUUUAUUUUUUCAUAAACAUCAUGUUACCUAGGUAUAAAAUAUUGCCAUAGUAAUCAUGUUCCAUUUUUACAAAAGUGGAAUUCUAUUACUAGAUCAAGGUGCAACACUAUUGAACAUUGACAACUUAUGAAAAAAAUCUAAAUACUAUUUCUAACUUAUAAGUAUUGCAAAAUACAAGGAAUAUCAAGUAAUUCUCAAUUACUACAAUGGACUUAAGAGUUUCAUAAUAGCGCAAUACUUAUAAAACAAAACAGAUCAAGAUGUUCAAGUGCAAAAUGUUCUUAACUUGAAUUACAAAGACUUUAAUAACAAACCAACAACAAACAGUUUCCGAGCAAUGGUUUUAUGUUUGCAA